UCGAACGGCAGCACGGGAGCUUGCUCCUGGUGGCGAGUGGCGAACGGGUGAGUAAAGCAUCGGAACGUACCUUGUCGAGGGGGAUAACGCAGCGAAAGUUGUGCUAAUACCGCAUACGUCCUGAGGGAGAAAGCGGGGGACCGCAAGGCCUCGCGCGAUGAGAGCGGCCGAUGUCAGAUUAGCUAGUUGGUGAGGUAAAGGCUCACCAAGGCGACGAUCUGUAGCGGGUCUGAGAGGAUGAUCCGCCACACUGGGACUGAGACACGGCCCAGACUCCUACGGGAGGCAGCAGUGGGGAAUUUUGGACAAUGGGGGAAACCCUGAUCCAGCCAUGCCGCGUGAGUGAAGAAGGCCUUCGGGUUGUAAAGCUCUUUCGGCCGGGAAAAAAUUGCACGGAUGAACAGUCUGUGUAGAUGAUGGUACCGGACUAAGAAGCACCGGCUAACUACGUGCCAGCAGCCGCGGUAAU
rnacentral:rRNA from 1 species